UACCAGCACCCCGAGUGGUCGGGACGAUUAUUGGGCCUAAAGCAUCCGUAGCCGGUUCUGCAAGUCCUCCGUUAAAUCCAACUGCUUAACAGAUGGGCCGCGGAGGAUACUACAUAGCUAGGAGGCAGGAGAGGCAAGCGGUACUCAGUGGGUAGGGGUAAAAUCCGUUGAUCCAUUGAAGACCACCAGUGGCGAAGGCGGCUUGCCAGAAUGCGCUCGACGGUGAGGGAUGAAAGCUGGGGGAGCAAACCGG
rnacentral:rRNA from 1 species